AUCACUUCUCAAAGCAAUUUGCUUUGAUCAUGUGUAGUAUCUGUUCUAGAAAGCUUAAUCUCUUUCUGCGGUCACACGUUGACCGCAUAAUUGAUUAAACUAAUUUAUCUAGAGGGACCGGAACACCAUGGUAUGGGCUUGCUCAUAUCGUUCUCAGUCAUGUAUUUGCACUGUAUUUGUACACACAAU
rnacentral:snRNA from 1 species